CUAGUGUAGAGGUGAAAUUCGUAGAUAUUAGAAAGAAUACCAAUUGCGAAGGCAGCUUUCUGGAUCAUUACUGACACUGAGGAACGAAAGCAUGGGUAGCGAAGAGGAUUAGAUACCCUCGUAGUCCAUGCCGUAAACGAUGUGUGUUAGACGUUGGAAAUUUAUUUUCAGUGUCGCAGCGAAAGCGAUAAACACACCGCCUGGGGAGUACGACCGCAAGGUUAAAACUCAAAUGAAUUGACGGGGACCCGCACAAGUAGUGGAGCAUGUGGUUUAAUUCGAAGAUACGCGCAGAACCUUACCAACACUUGACAUGUUCGUCGCGACUUUAAGAGAUUAAAGUUUUCGGUUCGGCCGGACGAAACACAGGUGCUGCAUGGCUGUCGUCAGCUCGUGUCGUGAGAUGUUGGGUUAAGUCCCGCAACGAGCGCAACCCUCACUUUUAGUUGCCAUCAUUAAGUUGGGCACUCUGAAAGAACUGCCAGUGAUAAGCUGGAGGAAGGUGGGGAUGACGUCAAGUCCUCAUGGCCCUUACGUGUUGGGCUACACACGUGCUACAAUGGUAUCUACAACAGGAAGCAAGACUGCGAGGUCAAGCAAAUCCUUAAAAGAUACCUCAGUUCGGAUUGCACUCUGCAACUCGAGUGCAUGAAGCUGGAAUUACUAGUAAUCGUGGAUCAGCGUGCCACGGUGAAUGCGUUCCCGGGUCUUGUACACACCGCCCGUCACACCAUGGGAGUUGGUUCUACCUUAAGGCAAGGUUUCAAACCCUUGACCACGGUAU
rnacentral:rRNA from 1 species